UCUUCCCUCUUCCCUCGUGCCUAAUACAUGCAAGUCGAGCGAACAGAUGAGGAGCUUGCUCCUCUGACGUUAGCGGCGGACGGGUGAGUAACACGUGGAUAACCUACCUAUAAGACUGGGAUAACUUCGGGAAACCGGAGCUAAUACCGGAUAAUAUAUUGAACCGCAUGGUUCAAUAGUGAAAGACGGUUUUGCUGUCACUUAUAGAUGGAUCCGCGCCGCAUUAGCUAGUUGGUAAGGUAACGGCUUACCAAGGCAACGAUGCGUAGCCGACCUGAGAGGGUGAUCGGCCACACUGGAACUGAGACACGGUCCAGACUCCUACGGGAGGCAGCAGUAGGGAAGCUUCCGCAAUGGGCGAAAGCCUGACGGAGCAACGCCGCGUGAGUGAUGAAGGUCUUCGGAUCGUAAAACUCUGUUAUUAGGGAAGAACAAAUGUGUAAGUAACUAUGCACGUCUUGACGGUACCUAAUCAGAAAGCCACGGCUAACUACGUG
rnacentral:rRNA from 1 species